UACGAGAGCCCCAAGCGUUAUUCGGAAUUAUUGGGCGUAAAGGGUGCGUAGGUGGCUGUGUUAGUCGUAUGUCAAAUACCUGGGCUCAACCUAGGAAAGGCACGCGAAACGGCACAGCUUGAAUAUGUGAGAGGUGUGCGGAACUCAAGGUGUAGGGGUGAAAUCCGUUGAUAUCUUGGGGAACACCAAAUGCGAAGGCAGCACACUGGCACAUUAUUGACACUCAAGCACGAAAGCGUGGGUAGCGAAUGGG
rnacentral:rRNA from 1 species